rnacentral:rRNA from 1 species
GGGGAAUAUUGGACAAUGGGCGCAAGCCUGAUCCAGCAAUUCCGCGUGGGUGAAGAAGGUCUUCGGAUUGUAAAGCCCUUUCGUCAGGGACGAUGAUGACGGUACCUGAAGAAGAAGCCCCGGCUAACUUCGUGCCAGCAGCCGCGGUAAUACGAAGGGGGCUAGCGUUGCUCGGAAUUACUGGGCGUAAAGGGCGCGUAGGCGGCUUGGUCAGUCAGGCGUGAAAUUCCUGGGCUUAACCUGGGGGCUGCGUUUGAUACUGCUGAGCUUGAGGAUGGAAGAGGCUCGUGGAAUUCCCAGUGUAGAGGUGAAAUUCGUAGAUAUUGGGAAGAACACCGGUGGCGAAGGCGGCGAGCUGGUCCAUUACUGACGCUGAGGCGCGACAGCGUGGGGAGCAAACAGGA